rnacentral:rRNA from 1 species
UACGUAGGGUGCAAGCGUUAAUCGGAAUUACUGGGCGUAAAGCGUGCGCAGGCGGUUUUGUAAGUCUGACGUGAAAUCCCCGGGCUCAACCUGGGAAUUGCGUUGGAGACUGCAAGGCUGGAGUCUGGCAGAGGGGGUAGAAUUCCACGUGUAGCAGUGAAAUGCGUAGAGAUGUGGAGGAACACCGAUGGCGAAGGCAGCCCCCUGGGUCAAGACUGGACGCUCAUGCACGAAAGCGUGGGGAGCAAACAGG